rnacentral:rRNA from 1 species
UACGGGGGGAGCAAGCGUUGUUCGGAAUCACUGGGCGUAAAGGGCGCGUAGGCGGCCCGCACAAGUCUGCGGUGAAAACCUCCGGCUUAACCGGGGGCCGGCCGUGGAAACUGUCGGGCUGGAGGCUGGGAGAGGGCAGCGGAAUUCCCGGUGUAGCGGUGAAAUGCGUAGAGAUCGGGAGGAACACCGGCGGCGAAGGCGGCUGCCUGGACCAGUGCUGACGCUGAGGCGCGAAAGCUAGGGGAGCAAACAGG